AUCGCUCCUCGGCCUUUUGGCUAAGAUCAAGUGUAGUAUCUAAGAAACUUGUCUGUACCAUUUUAUUUAUUUAUAUUUUAAUUAAUUUUU
rnacentral:snRNA from 1 species